AGUGAACGCUGGCGGCGUGCUUAACACAUGCAAGUCGAACGAGAACGGGCCUAGCUUGCUAGGCUGUCAGCUAAGUGGCGGACGGGUGAGUAAUGUAUAGUUAAUUUGCCCCUUAGAGAGGGAUAACAGUUGGAAACGACUGCUAAUACCUCAUACUCCUUUAUACUUAAUGUAUAUUGGGAAAUGUUUUUCGCUAAGGGAUAAGACUAUAUGGUAUCAGGUAGUUGGUGGGGUAAGAGCCUACCAAGCCAAUGACGCCUAGCUGGUCUGAGAGGAUGAUCAGCCACACUGGAACUGAGACACGGUCCAGACUCCUACGGGAGGCAGCAGUGGGGAAUAUUGCACAAUGGAGGAAACUCUGAUGCAGCAACGCCGCGUGGAGGAUGACGCAUUUCGGUGUGUAAACUCCUUUUAUAUAGGAAGAUAAUGACGGUACUAUAUGAAUAAGCACCGGCUAACUCCGUGCCAGCCGCCGCGGUAAU
rnacentral:rRNA from 1 species